rnacentral:rRNA from 1 species
UACGGGGGGAGCAAGCGUUGUUCGGAUUUACUGGGCGUAAAGGGCGCGUAGGCGGUCAGCACAAGUCAGUUGUGAAAUCUCCGAGCUUAACUCGGAAAGGUCAACUGAUACUGUGCGACUAGAGUGCGGAAGGGGCAACUGGAAUUCUUGGUGUAGCGGUGAAAUGCGUAGAUAUCAAGAGGAACACCUGCGGCGAAGGCGGGUUGCUGGGCUGACACUGACGCUGAGGCGCGAAAGCCAGGGGAGCGAACGGG